rnacentral:rRNA from 1 species
CCUACGGGGGGCAGCAGUGGGGAAUAUUGCGCAAUGGGCGAAAGCCUGACGCAGCGACGCCGCGUGAGGGAUGAAGGUCUUCGGAUCGUAAACCUCUGUCAGCAGGGAAGAACGGUCACUGUGCUAAUCAGCAGUGAAUUGACGGUACCUGCAAAGGAAGCACCGGCUAACUCCGUGCCAGCAGCCGCGGUAAUACGGAGGGUGCGAGCGUUAGUCGGAAUUACUGUGCGUAAGGCGCUCGUAGGCGGUAUGUCAAGUCAAGGGUGAAAGCCCCGCGCUCAACGUGGGAACUGCCGUUGAAACUGGAAAGCGGGAGUGUGUGAGAGGAUAGUGGAAUUCCAGGUGUAGGAGUGAAAUCCGUAGAUAUGUGGAGGAACAUCAGUGGCGAAGGCGACUAUCUGGCACAUAACUGACGCUGAGGAGCGAAGGCGUGGGUAGCAAACAGGAUUAGAUACCCCUGUAGUC